GUGGGGAAUAUUGGACAAUGGGCGCAAGCCUGAUCCAGCCAUACCGCGUGGGUGAAGAAGGCCUUCGGGUUGUGAAGCCCUUUUGUUGGGAAAGAAAUCCUGUCGGUUAAUACCUGGCGGGGAUGACGGUACCCAAAGAAUAAGCACCGGCUAACUUCGUGCCAGCAGCCGCGGUAAUACGAAGGGUGCAAGCGUUACUCGGAAUUACUGGGCGUAAAGCGUGCGUAGGUGGUGGUUUAAGUCCGUUGUGAAAGCCCUGGGCUCAACCUGGGAAUUGCAGUGGAUACUGGAUCACUAGAGUGUGGUAGAGGGAUGCGGAAUUUCUGGUGUAGCAGUGAAAUGCGUAGAGAUCAGAAGGAACAUCCGUGGCGAAGGCGGCAUCCUGGGCCAACACUGACACUGAGGCACGAAAGCGUGGGGAGCAAACAGGAUUAGAAACCCGAGUAGUCC
rnacentral:rRNA from 1 species